GCAAAACGCGAAGAACCUUACCUACUCUUGACAUCCACGGAACUUUUCAGAGAUGAAUUGGUGCCUUCGGGAACCAUGAGACAGGUGCUGCAUGGCUGUCGUCAGCUCGUGUUGUGAAAUGUUGGGUUAAGUCCCGCAACGAGCGCAACCCUUAUCCUUUGUUGCCAGCGGUCCGGCCGGGAACUCAAAGGAGACUGCCAGUGAUAAACUGGAGGAAGGUGGGGAUGACGUCAAGUCAUCAUGGCCCUUACGAGUAGGGCUACACACGUGCUACAAUGGCGCAUACAAAGAGAAGCGACCUCGCGAGAGCAAGCGGACCUCAUAAAGUGCGUCGUAGUCCGGAUUGGAGUCUGCAACUCGACUCCAUGAAGUCGGAAUCGCUAGUAAUCGUAGAUCAGAAUGCUACGGUGAAUACGUUCCGGUCUUGUACACACCG
rnacentral:rRNA from 1 species